AACGAACGCUGGCGGCAGGCUUAACACAUGCAAGUCGAACGAGCUGGGGGCUUCGGUCCCCGAUGCUAGUGGCGCACGGGUGAGUAACACGUGGGAAUAUGCCCUUUAGUACGGAAUAACCAAGUGAAACUUUGGCUAAUACCGUAUACGCCCUUCGGGGGAAAGAUUUAUCGCUAAGGGAUUAGCCCGCGUCUGCUUAGGUAGUUGGUGAGGUAAUGGCUCACCAAGCCGACGAUCAUUAGCUGGUCUGUGAGGAUGAUCAGCCACACUGGGACUGAGGCACGGACCAGACUAGGAGGGAGGGGAGCAGUGGGGAAUAUUGGAGAAUGGGGCCAACUGUAACCACGCCAUGCGGCGGGAGAGAAGCAGCCGUUCGGGUUGUAAAUCCGUUUCGACGGGGACGAGAAUGACGGUACCGGGAAAAGAAGCCCCGGCAAACUUCGUG
rnacentral:rRNA from 1 species